AGCUCCACCGGGUCGACCCCGCGGGUGACCACCAGGUAGUCGCGCAUGGCGAUGCUGUGCCGGUUCUC
rnacentral:sRNA from 1 species